GCAGGUAAAAAAUACCACCUUAUGGAACAACGGGGACUGUGAAGAGACACACAAAGGUACAGACACAUGCAUACGCACACAUUGUGAUAUUGUUGUAUUGUGAUAUUGAACAUUUUGUGUUGUGGAGAUGUGGUGGAUUAAACAGAUUAAACAGUGAACUAUGUUUGUUCUGAAUGAGCUAAAGAUAAAACAGUACAUCAUAUAACAUCCCUACACCACCACAUCUCUCAUGUAAUGGGGUAGGGCCUUCUCAAGGACCCAGGUAUGCACGGACGGUGUUAGUGGGAGAACAGGAAGUUCCGGGAAGGCGCGCACCAUUCUUCAGCAUAAAGAAAGCGCUAGAACGAUGCGGUCUGAAGAUAAUCUUCGUGUCCGUUUCUGUGUAUUACUACAGGCUGACUCAGAUUAAGUCUGAGGCCGGUAACAUCAACAGUGAGGACAAACCCAGCCUGCCUCUCUCCUUCCACACUGAGUCCAAACCUACAGUCACUGGGUCCUAAUUGUGACAGAGGAGCCCAGUUUGCACUGCAGGAUCCAGAGAUGGCAUCAGUGAAGCUGGAAGACUGCAGUCAAACACUGGAGCUGAAUGUCAACAUUAAAGAUGAAGAAGAGGAGGAGAAGAUUGGGACAUCUGUUAGUCAUGGAGAUCAUGUUGAGACAUUCUCUACAUCCAGAGAGCAACAGCAGGAAGAUCACAGAGCUAACAGGUCUCACCACUGCCCACAUUGUGAGGAGAUUUUCCCAAUUCUAUCAACGCUAAAAAUACACCUAAAAAUACAUACAGGAGAGAAUCUGUAUUUCUGCACUGACUGUGGGAAGAAUUUCACCACAUCAAGGGCUAUGAUAGUUCACCAGAGAGUACACACAGGAGAGAAGCCUUUCUCCUGCUCUGACUGUAGGAAGAGUUUCUCUCAAUCGAGCCACCUAAAACAACAUGAACGUAUACAUACAGGAGAGAAGCCUUACUCCUGCUCGGUCUGUGGAAAUAGUUUCUCUGGACAGGGACAUCUAAAACAACAUGAACGUAUACACACAGGAGAGAAGCCUUACUCCUACUCUGACUGUUGGAAGAGUUUCUCUCACUCGAGCCACCUAAAACAACAUGAACGUAUACACACAGGAGAGAAGCCUUACUCCUGCUCUGACUGUGGAAAAUGCUUCACACAAUCGUCUCAGCUAAAAGUUCACCAGAGAACACACACAGGAGAGAAGCCUUACUCCUGCUCUGACUGUGGAAAUAGUUUCUCUCACCUGGGCCACUUUAAAGCACAUGAACGUAUACAUACAGGAGAGAAGCCAUACUCCUGCUCUGACUGUGGAAAAUGCUUCACAACAUCAACUGAGCUAAAAGUUCACCAGAGAACACACACAGGAGAGAAGCCUUGCUCCUGCUCUGACUGUGGAAAAUGCUUCACCACAUCAACUGAGCUAAAAGUUCAUCAGAGAACACACACAGGAGAGAAGCCUUACUUCUGCUCUGACUGUAGUGCGAGUUUCUCUCAAUCGAGCCACCUAAAACGACAUGAACGUAUACACACAGGAGAGAAGCCUUACUACUGCUCUGACUGUGGAAAAUGUUUUAAAUCAUCAGCUGAGCUAAACGGUCAUCAGAGAACACACACACGAGAGAAGCCUUUCUUCUGCUCUUACUGUGGCAAGAACUUCUCCCGAUUGGCCAAUGUAAAAACACACCAACGGCUACACACUUGAGAGAAGCCUUAUCAGUUCUCUCACACCAGCUAAGAUUUGUCACUCCACUUAAUUCUCAUCUCAUAAAAUAAUUGGCAACGUUGAAUUGGAUCAAAUGAAGAAAGUGUAGAACACUAUAGUAAUCCUGUAGUUUCUCACUGUGAGAGAACAAUGCAGGGGAAAGGGAGCAUCAUAGAAUGUUAGCCUCUCUUUACUGAUCAGUGUACAUCUGGUCAGUUUUGCUGUGUUUUUUUUAGCCCGCGUCUAUAGAGACACAUACCAGCUCUACUGGUAGCACGGCUACUACCAGCAGUACCGCACCUGUCGACUGCACAAGUUGUUCUGCUUCCACGAGCACAUCCAAUGCUAGCAUUAGUUAUUCUACGUUUGUUGUUAGCCCAGCUAGCAUGGACACUGACAGUUGUGAUUCUGAUGCAGCCGAAGAGCUAGUGCCCCUUUACCCAGGCAAGCACUGAACAACAGACGGAUGUUGGACCAUCGAAGAGGUGCAAAUAUGGUGAGAACUGCAUUGAUUUGUGGUUCACUUAUAUUGGGAAUAGUGCCUUUCCUCAGCCACAGUGUGUUAUAUCUCACAACUCAAUGAAAAAUCUUGGUGAGUUACCAAGUGGCUAGGACAGUCAAGCUCCAUACUAUUGUGGAGGACUUCAUUCUUCCUGCUUCCGUGGAUAUGGCUGGGGGAAAAUGUUUUAAAAAAUGAUUCCGUUUCAUGAUGCAUCAGUGACAUGGCAGAUGUUUUGAAACAAUUACUGCUUCGCAUACAAGCCAGUGAAUUCAGUGGGAUGUGUCAACAGACGUGGCGGGCCUGGCACAGCUCCUGGUAUAUGUCCAUUACGUUUUUGGGGGGUCAAUUAAGGAAGACAUCCUCUUCUGCAAACCACUGGAAACCAGGACAACGGGAUAUCUUUUUAAAGUACUGGACGGCUUUGUGACAUCAAAUGGACUUAGGUGGUCAAGAUGUGUUGGUAUCUGUACUGAUGGCGCAAAUGCCAUUACAGGGAGACAUAGUGGAGUGGUACUUACUCCCGAUGCUUCUUGGGUUCACUGCAGCAGCCACCGAGAGGCUCUUGCUGCCAAGGGAAUGCCUGACAGCUUGAAAGACGUUUUGGGGACUACAGUGAAAAUUGUUAACUUUGUUAACAUGGACAACACACAGGUCUUUUCAUCAUUGUAUGAUUUAUUUUGUGUGCAAAUGAACUCAAGCUUAUGGUCAAUGUCAAAUGUGAUCUAGCAAAGCACCUGAGUGAGUUUUGGUGUGCAAAUACACGGGUACUUUCCUGAAACGGAUGACACAAACUAGAUUCGUUAUCCCUUUCAUGCCCUGCCUCCAGUCCACUUACCGAUAUCUGAACAAGAGAGCCUCUUCAAAAUUGUAACAAGUGAUUCUGUGAAAAUGUAAUUUAAUCAGAAGCUACUGCCAGAUUUCUGGAUUGGGCUGUGCUCAGAGGAGCCUGCCUUGGCAAAUCGCGCUGUUAAGACACUGAUGCCCUUUGGAACCGCGUACCUAUGUGAGAGUGGAUUCUCGGCCCUCGCUAGCAUAACUAAAUACGGGCACAGACUGUGUGUGGAAAAGGAUUUAAGACAACCCUGCAAUGUUGAGUUGUAUUGGAGAGAGUAUGUGCAUCUUUUCAAGCAAACCCUUCUCAUUAACCUGCGGUGAGUCUUUCACAAUUUUCAAUGAGCAACGAAGGUUUAAUAUGUAAAAUGGCUAAAUAAGAAUUUACAUAUCAGACUAAAUUGAACACGCACUGCAGCCGAGGUCUACUGCUAGUCGUGACCCCGAAACGCAACACGAGGUUGAAGACAAAGUAAAUCUCUGAACAAUCAAGUCUAUGGUGGAGUAGCUAUUCUUAGUACUGUAUCAAGGAAGUUGAAUUUGAGCUAUUCUUUUCAAGUCACCGGUUGUCUACACGGUCCUCUUACCCACGCCGGGAGCAUCGACACGCCUGAUUAGCCUCCUCAGAAGCCCACUCUCACAGAACGAGUACAAGGAAACUGACAACUAAGAGAAAGGACAUUGUGACAUAGUUUGGAAAAUCAGAGACUUACACCUGAAGACGAAUGAACAAGGCGUUGGCCAAACCUUUCCCACUAAGCGGAACUCGACCCACAAAGAGACACCCAACAGAGACCUUCAACACAUAAAUACAUGCAUUACACUUUUUUUAAUCAUAACAGGGGCAGUUCAGGGCAAGCUGUUAGGGCUGAAACUAAGCAUAGUUUACAAAUGUAUCCAAGUGUUGAAUUUCUCUCUUUCUCUCUGUGUGUGAAGCUCCAUCUUGCAUUGGUCCACUAGGGACCUGUUUCCAUUUUAUGAAGUUUUAACCAAUAACCUAGACUGUUUGUGUAUAUUUAUCUUAUGUUAUCAUAUAACUGGUUAGUAAAUAAAUAACAAUC